GCCCCCGUAGCUCAACGGACAGAGCAAUCCCGUCCUAAGGGAUCGAUGGACGUUCAAUUCGUCCCGGGGGUACCA
rnacentral:tRNA from 1 species